rnacentral:rRNA from 1 species
GAUGAACGCUGGCGGCGUGCCUAAUACAUGCAAGUCGAACGCGCAGCGAAAGGUGCUUGCACCUUUCAAGCGAGUGGCGAACGGGUGAGUAACACGUGGAUAACCUGCCUCAAGGCUGGGGAUAACAUUUGGAAACAGAUGCUAAUACCGAAUAAAACUUAGUAUCGCAUGAUACAAAGUUAAAAGGCGCUACGGCGUCACCUAGAGAUGGAUCCGCGGUGCAUUAGUUAGUUGGUGGGGUAAAGGCUUACCAAGACGAUGAUGCAUAGCCGAGUUGAGAGACUGAUCGGCCACAUUGGGACUGAGACACGGCCCAAACUCCUACGGGAGGCUGCAGUAGGGAAUCUUCCACAACGGGCGCAAGCCUGAUGGAGCAACGCCGCGUGUGUGAUGAAGGCUUUCGGGUCGUAAAGCACUGUUGUAUGGGAAGAAAUGCUAAAAUAGGGAAUGAUUUUAGUUUGACGGUACCAUACCAGAAAGGGACGGCUAGAUACGUGCCAGCCGCCGCCGUAA